AAACCAGCACCUCAAGUGGUCAGGAUGAUUAUUGGGCCUAAAGCAUCCGUAGCCUGCUUUGUAAGUUUUCGGUUAAAUCCAUAUGCUCAACAUAUGGGCUGCCGGGAAUACUGCACAGCUAGGGAGUGGGAGAGGUAGACGGUACUCGGUAGGAAGGGGUAAAAUCCUUUGAUCUAUUGAUGACCACCUGUGGCGAAGGCGGUCUACCAGAACACGUCCGACGGUGAGGGAUGAAAGCUGGGGGAGCAAACCGGAUUAGAAACCCGGGUAGUCC
rnacentral:rRNA from 1 species